rnacentral:rRNA from 1 species
GACGAACGCUGGCGGCGUGCUUAACACAUGCAAGUCGAACGGAGUGGCGAACGGGUGAGUAACACGUGGGUGACCUGCCCUGCACUUCGGGAUAAGCCUGGGAAACUGGGUCUAACACCGGACAGUGGGGGAUGUGCGCGCGGCCUAGCAGCUUGUUGGUGGGGUAAAGGCUUACCAAGGCGGCGGCGGGUAGCCGGCCUGAGAGGGUGGACGGCCACAUUGGGCCGUAGACACGGCCAAGACGCCUACGGGAGGCAGCAGUGGGGAAUAUUGCGAGCUGGGCGGAAGCCUGAUGGAGCGACUCCGGGUUGGGGAUGACGGCCUUCGGGUUGUAAACUCCUUUCACCAUCGACGCGGUAGAUGGAGAAGAAGCACCGGCUAACUACGUGCCAGCAGCCGCGGUAAUAC